rnacentral:rRNA from 1 species
GCCACAUGCUAUCGGAUGCGCCUACGUGGGAUUAGCUAGUUGGUGAGGUAAUGGCUCACCAAGGCGACGAUCCCUAGCUGGUUUGAGAGGGUGAUCAGCCACACUGGAACUGAGACACGGUCCAGACUCCUACGGGAGGCAGCAGUGGGGAAUAUUGGACAAUGGGCGCAAGCCUGAUCCAGCCAUGCCGCGUGUGUGAAGAAGGCCUUCGGGUUGUAAAGCACUUUCAGUUGGGAGGAAGGGUUGCGUGUUAAUAGUACACAGCCUUGACGUUACCAACAGAAGAAGCACCGGCUAACUCUGUGCCAGCAGCCGCGGUAAUACAGAGGGUGCAAGCGUUAAUCGGAAUUACUGGGCGUAAAGCGCACGUAGGCGGUUUUUUAAGUCAGAUGUGAAAGCCCCGGGCUCAACCUGGGAAUUGCAUUUGAAACUGGAAAACUAGAGUGUGUGAGAGGGGGGUAGAAUUCCAAGUGUAGCGGUGAAAUGCGUAGAGAUUUGGANGGAAUACCAGUGGCGAAGGCGGCCCCCUGGCACAACACUGACGCUCAGGUGCGAAAGCGUGGGGAGCAAACAGGAUUAGAUACCCUGGUAGUCCACGCCGUAAACGAUGUCUACUAGCUGUUCGUGACCUUGUGUCGUGAGUAGCGCAGCUAACGCACUAAGUAGANCCGNCCUGGGGAGUACGGUCGCAAGAUUAAAACUCAAAUGAAUUGACGGGGGCCCGCACAAGCGGUGGAGCAUGUGGUUUAAUUCGACGCAACGCGAAGAACCUUACCUACUCUUGACAUCCAGAGAAGACUGCAGAGAUGCGGUUGUGCCUUCGGGAACUCUGAGACAGGUGCUGCAUGGCUGUCGUCAGCUCGUGUUGUGAAAUGUUGGGUUAAGUCCCGCAACGAGCGCAACCCUUAUCCUUAGUUGCCAGCACGUAAUGGUGGGAACUCUAGGGAGACUGCCGGUGAUAAACCGGAGGAAGGUGGGGACGACGUCAAGUCAUCAUGGCCCUUACGAGUAGGGCUACACACGUGCUACAAUGGUAUGUACAGAGGGAGGCAAGCUGGCGACAGUGAGCGGAUCUCUUAAAGCAUAUCGUAGUCCGGAUCGCAGUCUGCAACUCGACUGCGUAAAGUCGGAAUCGCUAGUAAUCGCAAAUCAGAAUGUUGCGGUGAAUA